rnacentral:rRNA from 1 species
GUAGUCCUAGCUGUAAACGGUGCACAUUUGCUGUAAGAGGAAUCGACCCCUUUUGUGGCGAAGCUAACGCGAUAAAUGUGCCGCCUGGGGAGUACGGUCGCAAGAUUAAAACUCAAAGAAAUUGACGGGGGCCUGCACAAGCGGUGGAGUAUGUGGCUUAAUUCGAUGCAACGCGAAGAACCUUACCUGGCCUUGACAUGCAUUUAGUAGGAGGGUGAAAGCCCGACGAGAUAGCAAUAUCAGGAUGCACAGGUGCUGCAUGGCUGUCGUCAGCUCGUGUCGUGAGAUGUUGGGUUAAGUCCCGCAACGAGCGCAACCCUUAUGUCCUGUUGCCACUCAAACGAGAGUUUGGAGCACUCUGGACAGACUGCCUCGCUCAAACGAGGA